GACCAUUGACUAAUUAUUUUGGCAUUUUUCAAAAGUCAGAAGUAAUUAAAAACUAAUUAAAAAGUUAAUAAUCACAAAAUUCACCAAAAAUAGAAAACUUAAUCCAAAAAUUAAUUUUAAAUAAAAAAUGGGAAGAAGAAAAUAUUUGUGAAUUUCUGGUGUUGGUCACAUAACUUUUGGAUCAAAAAUGAAUUUAUAAUGAAUUUUGGAAGAAAAAGCUAUUUAAAAAUCAUUUUAGAAAAAUCAAAUAAAAAGAAA
rnacentral:lncRNA from 1 species